rnacentral:rRNA from 1 species
UUUAUGGAGAGUUUGAUCCUGGCUCAGGAUGAACGCUGGCGGCGUGCCUAAUACAUGCAAGUCGAGCGAACGGACGAGAAGCUUGCUUCUCUGAUGUUAGCGGCGGACGGGUGAGUAACACGUGGAUAACCUACCUAUAAGACUGGGAUAACUUCGGGAAACCGGAGCUAAUACCGGAUAAUAUUUUGAACCGCAUGGUUCAAAAGUGAAAGACGGUCUUGCUGUCACUUAUAGAUGGAUCCGCGCUGCAUUAGCUAGUUGGUAAGGUAACGGCUUACCAAGGCAACGAUGCAUAGCCGACCUGAGAGGGUGAUCGGCCACACUGGAACUGAGACACGGUCCAGACUCCUACGGGAGGCAGCAGUAGGGAAUCUUCCGCAAUGGGCGAAAGCCUGACGGAGCAACGCCGCGUGAGUGAUGAAGGUCUUCGGAUCGUAAAACUCUGUUAUUAGGGAAGAACAUAUGUGUAAGUAACUGUGCACAUCUUGACGGUACCUAAUCAGAAAGCCACGGCUAACUACGUGCCAGCAGCCGCGGUAAUACGUAGGUGGCAAGCGUUAUCCGGAAUUAUUGGGCGUAAAGCGCGCGUAGGCGGUUUUUUAAGUCUGAUGUGAAAGCCCACGGCUCAACCGUGGAGGGUCAUUGGAAACUGGAAAACUUGAGUGCAGAAGAGGAAAGUGGAAUUCCAUGUGUAGCGGUGAAAUGCGCAGAGAUAUGGAGGAACACCAGUGGCGAAGGCGACUUUCUGGUCUGUAACUGACGCUGAUGUGCGAAAGCGUGGGGAUCAAACAGGAUUAGAUACCCUGGUAGUCCACGCCGUAAACGAUGAGUGCUAAGUGUUAGGGGGUUUCCGCCCCUUAGUGCUGCAGCUAACGCAUUAAGCACUCCGCCUGGGGAGUACGACCGCAAGGUUGAAACUCAAAGGAAUUGACGGGGACCCGCACAAGCGGUGGAGCAUGUGGUUUAAUUCGAAGCAACGCGAAGAACCUUACCAAAUCUUGACAUCCUUUGACAACUCUAGAGAUAGAGCCUUCCCCUUCGGGGGACAAAGUGACAGGUGGUGCAUGGUUGUCGUCAGCUCGUGUCGUGAGAUGUUGGGUUAAGUCCCGCAACGAGCGCAACCCUUGAGCUUAGUUGCCAUCAUUAAGUUGGGCACUCUAAGUUGACUGCCGGUGACAAACCGGAGGAAGGUGGGGAUGACGUCAAAUCAUCAUGCCCCUUAUGAUUUGGGCUACACACGUGCUACAAUGGACAAUACAAAGGGCAGCGAAACCGCGAGGUCAAGCAAAUCCCAUAAAGUUGUUCUCAGUUCGGAUUGUAGUCUGCAACUCGACUACAUGAAGCUGGAAUCGCUAGUAAUCGUAGAUCAGCAUGCUACGGUGAAUACGUUCCCGGGUCUUGUACACACCGCCCGUCACACCACGAGAGUUUGUAACACCUGAAGCCGGUGGAGUAACCUUUUAGGAGCUAGCCGUCGAAGGUGGGACAAAUGAUUGGGGUGAAGUCGUAACAAGGUAGCCGUAUCGGAAGGUGCGGCUGGAUCACCUCCUUUCU